rnacentral:rRNA from 1 species
UACGUAGGGUGCAAGCGUUAUCCGGAAUUAUUGGGCGUAAAGAGCUCGUAGGCGGUUUGUCGCGUCUGCUGUGAAAACUGGAGGCUCAACCUCCAGCCUGCAGUGGGUACGGGCAGACUAGAGUGCGGUAGGGGAGAUUGGAAUUCCUGGUGUAGCGGUGGAAUGCGCAGAUAUCAGGAGGAACACCGAUGGCGAAGGCAGAUCUCUGGGCCGUAACUGACGCUGAGGAGCGAAAGCAUGGGGAGCGAACGGGG